rnacentral:miRNA from 1 species
UAAUCAGCUCCAGCUAUGUACA